rnacentral:rRNA from 1 species
UACGAAGGGGACUAGCGUUGUUCGGAAUUACUGGGCGUAAAGCGCACGUAGGCGGAUUUGUUAGUCAGGGGUGAAAUCCCGGGGCUCAACCUCGGAACUGCCUUUGAUACUGCAAGUCUCGAGUCCGAUAGAGGUGGGUGGAAUUCCUAGUGUAGAGGUGAAAAUUCGUAGAUAUUGGGAGGAACACCAGUGGCGAAGGCGGCCACCUGGACCGGUUCUGACGCUGAUGAGCGAAAGCUAGGGGAGCAAACGGG